rnacentral:rRNA from 1 species
UACGUAGGGUGCAAGCGUUAAUCGGAAUUACUGGGCGUAAAGCGUGCGCAGGCGGUUCGUUGUGUCUGAUGUGAAAGCCCCGGGCUCAACCUGGGAAUGGCAUUGGAAACUGGCGAGCUAGAGUGUGGCAGAGGGGGGUGGAAUUCCGCGUGUAGCAGUGAAAUGCGUAGAGAUGUGGAGGAACACCGAUGGCGAAGGCAGCCCCCUGGGUCAAGAUUGACGCUCAUGCACGAAAGCGUGGGGAGCAAACAGG